UACGUAGGGUGCUAGCGUUGUUCGGAAUCAUUGGGCGUAAAGCGCGUGUAGGCGGUUUGAUAAGUCGAAUGUGAAAUCCCCCGGCUCAACCGAGGAAGUGCAUUCGAAACUAUCUGGCUAGAAGAUGGCAGAGGAAGGUGGAAUUCCAAGUGUAGAGGUGAAAUUCGUAGAUAUUUGGAGGAAUACCGGUGGCGAAGGCGGCCUUCUGGACCAUUCUUGACGCUGAGACGCGAAAGCGUGGGGAGCAAACAGG
rnacentral:rRNA from 1 species